GUGUCAGCAGCCGCGGUAAUACGGAGGGUGCGAGCGUUAAUCGGCAUUACUGGGCGUAAAGCGCAUGCAGGUGGUUUGUUAAGUCAGAUGUGAAAGCCCGGGGCUCAACCUCGGAACUGCAUUUGAAACUGGCAAACUAGAGUACUGUAGAGGGGGGUAGAAUUUCAGGUGUAGCGGUGAAAUGCGUAGAGAUCUGAAGGAAUACCAGUGGCGAAAGCGGCCCCCUGGACAGAUACUGACACUCAGAUGCGAAAGCGUGGGGAGCAAACAGGAUUAGAAACCCCCGUAGUCC
rnacentral:rRNA from 1 species